GUGGGGUUCGUGUUACUUAGCCUUUAGUUUUCUGUGUUGUGUUUUGUGUACUAUUUUUUUCUAUUUGUCUGUUUGAUUUUUAGCCAUGGCGUUGUAAGUUUAUUUCGAUUUAUGAGCUAGAAUGUCCCUUUGGUAUCUUUAUUCCCUUUUCUUAAAUAUACAUGUGGGAUUUUUUUUGUACCUUACUUUCAUGGUUUUAAGUCUUAAGUAAUUUGUUUUUUAAUGUGUAAAUAAUCUUCUCUCGAAAUUUUAUAUGACUGGAUUUGACAUAUGUGUAAUCAAUCUAGU
rnacentral:lncRNA from 1 species